UACGUAGGGUGCAAGCGUUGUCCGGAAUUAUUGGGCGUAAAGAGCUCGUAGGCGGUCUGUCGCGUCUGCUGUGAAAACUCAGGGCUUAACCCUGAGCUUGCAGUGGGUACGGGCAGACUAGAGUGCGGUAGGGGAGACUGGAAUUCCUGGUGUAGCGGUGAAAUGCGCAGAUAUCAGGAGGAACACCGGUGGCGAAGGCGGUUCUCUGGGCCUUACCUGACGCUGAGGAGCGAAAGCGUGGGGGAGCGAACAGG
rnacentral:rRNA from 1 species